AACCAAUGCAAAGGAGGUGAUCCAGUGUCUUAUGAGAUUUUGGUGCUCGAAGAAGGUCUGGGAUUUCGUGUGAUGACUGGGAGUGAUCUCGGCUAAUCCACGCCUCCUCGGGUCUUACGAGACCGAUUAACUCAGGGAAGGGCCGCUCGCACGAGCGGCCCU
rnacentral:misc_RNA from 1 species